UUUGAAGCACGUGAUCUUUGUACCUACUCCC
rnacentral:piRNA from 1 species